UUCUUCCAGCCCAGCGUUUCUCAUGAUGUACUCAGCAUAGAAGUUAAAUACGUAGGGUGACAAUAUACAGCCUUGACGUACUCCUUUUCCUAUUUCAUUUGUUCCAAAAACUGUUACAAUUAAUUUUUAUUGGAGUACAGUUGCUUUACAACAUUGUGUUAGUUUCUGCUGUAAUUUUGAGCCUGGCACCGGGACAAAGAACAGUACUUAACUCUCUCCACCAAAGGUUUCAGCACCAAAUAGCUGUGUAACCAUCAGGUUCACCACUUUACCUUUGUGGACCCUAGUUUCCUGGUCUGUGAACCUGUGGGCAGGACUAAGUGACUUCUCUGGCACUUGUAGACCUUGAAACUGGAGAUGAUACACUUAGGCUUCACCCUAGCUCUCCCCUACAAACCGAAUUCUCUGAGUGUCUGCAAAAUAGUUCUUUUUCUAUAGCUCACUUCAAGGAAUUGUCUUGUGUGGAAAGACAAAAGAUGGCUCUGUUCUUAUAUACUCAACAGGUGAGUUUGGUCAGUUGCUGUUUUCCACAAUGGCACAUUUGGCAUUUUCUGUGAAGAUCCCCAGGGUUCAAAGCGCUUUCAUGAACACUCAAGUUCCUUCUGUGCUGGGCAUACCUGGGAAUGCAGAUAGAUGUCAGUGAAUAUGGGCCCAGCCUUCGAGAAACUUGUGAUCUGGUGAGGUUGAUACAGGUGUCAAGUGGGAGUCGAUCUCAGAGGCCCAUGCAUCUUUUGGAAGCAGAGGUCAGAGGUACCAUGACCUUUCAGGAGGUAAUGUUGGAGCCAGGCCAACAAGGGCAGGACAGUGGGUUGCCCGAAUGAUGAGCCAUGGCUUUACUCAUCAUGCUGAAGAGUUUGGCCUUGAGUUUGGGGGCAUGAACCAUGGACAGGUCAUGAGUGGCUGGGUUCUGCAGUGGAGGAGAGGUUUGUGCGUACGCUGAGGCAGUAACCUGAAGUUGAGCAGGGUGCCACGGGUUGAGGGAGGGAGGCUAGAAAGAUGAAGGAGGUAAGAUGGUACAGAGAAGGGGAUGGCGCUGGAAACCUCUGAGGUUGAGCAGAAGUUCUGGUACAGAAGAAGUCUGAAAAGGCAUUCCUCUAGAGUGGAAAGCUGAAGGCUAAAUCCAGCUCUCUCUGACCUCGGUUUCCUCAUGUAAUUUGUCCUCCACACUCAUCGAGAACCAGUGUAUUUGUUGACUGAGCUCCUGCUGAGCUUCACUUCAUCAGUCAGGUUGUAAAGUGUGUGCGACGUGAAUCUGUUGUGUAUUUUUUUCCCUCCCUGUUCAUUCUUACUGUGAAAGAAUGUUGUGAUUUCAGAGGUAUUGUGUGAGGAGAAACAUUUAUUAAAAAAAAAAGAGCCUCAUAGUUCCAGCCAGGCACGUAAAAGAUCAUUUUACACCAGGGAUCCCACACGGAACUCUAAGGAGCCAGGAAUUGUGGGCUCAUUUUCCUUAUAAGCCAGAGACCUGUUUUAAAUCCCUUCCACACAAUUUGCAGGAUGAAGAGAGAGAGUAGCGCUGAAACACACACUACCAGAUGUAAAAUAGAUAGCCAGGGGGAAUUUGCUGUAUGAUGCGGGGAGCUCAGACCCUGUGCUCCCUGACUACCUGGAAGGGUGGGGUGGGCCGGGGGGCGGGGAGAGGUUCAAGUGGGAGGGGACACGUGUAUGCCUAUGACUGAUUCAUGUUGAUGUAAGGCUGAAACCAACACAAUAUUGUAAAGCAAUUAUCCUCCAAUUAAAAGGAAGUUAAUUAAAAGGAAAAAUAUUUUAACAUCAACGGGUGCUAAAGCCAUACUGCAAGGAGACCUGCAUCUCAAGAACACUUUCCUUUUUUUACAGUGUUAAUUGUCAGUUCAGAUCCAAAAUCGUCAGGUUGACCAUGGCUAUUCACCUGGAUUUUUGCUCUCGCUGACGGUGUUGUUUUCUUAUUUAUUUAUUUAUGGCUGUGCCGGGUCUUCCCUGCUGCCCAGGGUUUUCUCUAGUUGCGGAAGGCGGGGGCUCCUCUUCAUUGCAGUGCUCGGGUUUCUCACUGCCGUGGCCACUUCUGUUGAGGAGCUCAGGCUCCGGGGCACGUAGGCGUCAGUAGUUGCGGCACACGGGGUUAGUUGCUCCGCUGCACCAGGGAUCCUCCCAGACCAGAGACUGAACUCAUGUCUCCUGCAUCGCAAGGAGGAUUCUUAACCACUGAGCCAGCAAGGAAGCCCCAGCUAUUUCUGACCUACGUCAGUGAGUUGAUCCACCAACGGUG
rnacentral:lncRNA from 1 species